rnacentral:ncRNA from 1 species
UUUGAUUUCUUAAAAUUUUUAAACUUCCUCUUAUUUUGUAUAGUCUUAGGUUUAAUUUUUAUUUUUUAUUCUGCUAAAUGUUUCGUUUAUGUAGUAAUUAAAUUUAAUAAAUCGAGUUAUUUUGGAAUUAGUAAUUGAUUGAGUUUUGACUAAUUUUGUGCCAGCAGUCGCGGUUAUACAAUUAAUGCAAUUGAAUAUUUUUAACUUUGUAGAUUAUUGUUUAUAGGGAUUAUAUAUAUGAUUUUAGAGGGUGAAAUUUAUAUUUUGUUUUAUAUUCUUAUUUUUGAUUCUAUGAAAAUUUGAAUUUAAACUAGGAUUAGAUACCCUAUUAUUUAAAUUGUAAAUAUUUGUUAGGGUAGUGAUAGCUAAGAUCUUGAAACCCAAAGAAUUUGGCGGCAUUUCAUUCCAUUCAGAGGAACCUACCCCCCAUGAUUGAUAGUACACGAUUUGUAAUACUUGUUUUUAUAUAUUUGUAUAUCUCCGUUAUCAGAAAAUCUUUUGAGAGUUGUUAAAAUUUUCAUAAUCCAUAAUUUUGGUUUAUUUCAGGUCAAGGUGCAAUUAUAAAUAAGAGGUGUUGGGUUACAAUAAAUUAAAUUUACGUUUUUAUUUAUGGAAAUUUUUAACUAAGUUGGAUUUGAUAGUAAUUUGUUUUACUUUUUUUGUUUGAUUAUGGCUCUGAGGUGUGUACACAUCGCCCGUCACUCUCAUUAUUUUAUUUGGUUUAAUUAAUAUAUACAUAGAUGAGAUAAGUCGUAACAUAGUAGAUGUACUGGAAAGUGUAUCUAGUAAGAUU